rnacentral:rRNA from 1 species
CCUACGGGAGGCAGCAGUGGGGAAUAUUGCACAAUGGGGGAAACCCUGAUGCAGCGACGCCGCGUGAGUGAAGAAGUAUUUCGGUACGUAAAGCUCUAUCAGCAGGGAAGAAAAUGACGGUACCUGACUAAGAAGCCCCGGCUAACUACGUGCCAGCAGCCGCGGUAAUACGUAGGGGGCAAGCGUUAUCCGGAUUUACUGGGUGUAAAGGGAGCAUAGACGGCAGCGCAAGUCUGGAGUGAAAUCCCAUGGCUUAACCAUGGAACUGCUUUGGAAACUGUACAGCUAGAGUGCAGGAGAGGUAAGCGGAAUUCCUAGUGUAGCGGUGAAAUGCGUAGAUAUUAGGAGGAACACCAGUGGCGAAGGCGGCUUACUGGACUGUAACUGACGUUGAGGCUCGAAAGCGUGGGGAGCAAACAGGAUUAGAUACCCCUGUAGUC